GUAGGUGGCAAGCGUUGUCCGGAAUUAUUGGGCGUAAAGCGCGCGCAGGCGGUUCUUUAAGUCUGAUGUGAAAGCCCACGGCUCAACCGUGGAGGGUCAUUGGAAACUGGAGAACUUGAGUACAGAAGAGGAAAGCGGAAUUCCACGUGUAGCGGUGAAAUGCGUAGAGAUGUGGAGGAACACCAGUGGCGAAGGCGGCUUUUCUGGUCUGUAACUGACGCUGAGGCGCGAAAGCGUGGGGAGCAAACAGGGAUUAGAUACCCUGGUAGUCCACGCCGUAAACGAUGAGUGCUAAGUGUUAGGGGGGUUUCCGCCCCCUUAGUGCUGCAGCUAACGCAUUAAGCACUCCCGCCUGGGGAUACGGCCGCAAGGCUG
rnacentral:rRNA from 1 species